CUCCAGCCAGGCCUGAACUGCUGCACGGCGUAUGGAGGGAAGGCACCGAAGUCCACGGCUCAAGGCACACAGGUGUUGGCAGAAUUGGCUGAGGCAUGACUUAGCCUUCCUGGAAUUUCCUGUUUAUAAAUGACAGCAGAGAACAAGUUAUUCCUGUAGGAAAGUGAUCUGGCCCAUACCUGAGGCCAUGCCACCAGAUCUGCUUUGACUGUGAGCGAGGACUCUUCUCAUGGAUGCAGCAGGGAGUGGAUUCCUGAGAGGAUGACCAAGUGAGGUGAUGGAGACAGAGGUCCCUUGUAAAUGGCCAGCAUUGUGCAAAGUAAUGAAG